rnacentral:rRNA from 1 species
CGGCGUGCUUAACACAUGCAAGUCGAGCGGAAAGGCCCCUUCGGGGGUACUCGAGCGGCGAACGGGUGAGUAACACGUGGGUAAUCUGCCCAGGACACAGGAAUAACCAGUGGAAACGCUGGCUAAUGCCUGAUGACGUGCCGGCCCUUCGGGGCUGUCACCAAAGGUAGCUUCGGCCUCCGGUCCUGGAUGAGCCCGCGGCCCAUUAGCUUGUUGGCGGGGUAACGGCCCACCAAGGCGACGAUGGGUAGCUGGUCUGAGAGGACGAUCAGCCACACUGGGACUGAGACACGGCCCAGACUCCUACGGGAGGCAGCAGUGGGGAAUCUUGCGCAAUGGGCGGAAGCCUGACGCAGCAACGCCGCGUGCGGGAAGAAGGCCUUCGGGUUGUAAACCGCUUUCAGCAGGGACGAAGGCGAGCGGGUUAAUAGCCCGUCAGUUGACUGUACCUGCAGAAGAAGGUCCGGCUAACUACGUGCCAGCAGCCGCAGUAAUAC